rnacentral:rRNA from 1 species
UACAGAGGGUGCGAGCGUUAAUCGGAAUUACUGGGCGUAAAGCGCACGUAGGCGGCUUUGCAAGUCGGUUGUGAAAUCCCCGGGCUCAACCUGGGAACUGCAUCCGAGACUGCAUUGCUAGAGUAUGGGAGAGGGAAGCGGAAUUUCUGGUGUAGCAGUGAAAUGCGUAGAUAUCAGAAGGAACAUCAGUGGCGAAGGCGGCUUCCUGGACCAAUACUGACGAUCAGGUGCGAAAGCGUGGGGAGCAAACAGG